rnacentral:sRNA from 2 species
AACCUUAUAUCGCUUAAUCCAAUAGGAGCGGGGGACCCAAUUUUUUGUACAUUUGUACUUGGGGUGAAUCCUUUUUAAAAGGUAGGGCUACUCUUUAAGUCCGAAUCCAACAGCUAACCUCGUAAGCGUUUAGAGAGGAGGU